rnacentral:rRNA from 1 species
UGGGGAAUCUUAGACAAUGGGGGAAACCCUGAUCUAGCCAUGCCGCGUGAGUGAUGAAGGCCCUAGGGUCGUAAAGCUCUUUCGCCAGGGAUGAUAAUGACAGUACCUGGUAAAGAAACCCCGGCUAACUCCGUGCCAGCAGCCGCGGUAAUACGGAGGGGGUUAGCGUUGUUCGGAAUUACUGGGCGUAAAGCGCGCGUAGGCGGCCUGCCAAGUUAGGGGUGAAAUCCCGGAGCUCAACUCCGGAACUGCCUCUAAAACUGGUAAGCUUGAGGAUGUGAGAGGUGAGUGGAAUUCCGAGUGUAGAGGUGAAAUUCGUAGAUAUUCGGAAGAACACCAGUGGCGAAGGCGACUCACUGGCGCAUUUCUGACGCUGAGGCGCGAAAGCGUGGGGAGCAAACAGGAUUAGAUACCCCCGUAGUCC